AGCGAACGUUAGCGGCGCGCCUAACACAUGCAAGUCGCACGAGAAACGGAGCAAUCCGCGGUACAGUGGCGCACGGGUGAGUAACACGUGGAUGACCUUCCCUGGAGUGGUGGAUAACCUGCCGAAAGGCGGGCUAAUACAGCAUAGGACCACGACGCUUUGGCGAUGUGGUGAAAGCGGGCCUCUAUAUAUAAGCUCGCGCUCCGGGACGGGUCCGCGUCCCAUCAGCUAGUUGGUGAGGUAACGGCUCACCAAGGCAACGACGGGUAGCUGGUCUGAGAGGAUGGCCAGCCACACUGGAACUGAGACACGGUCCAGACUCCUACGGGAGGCAGCAGUGGGGAAUCUUGCGCAAUGGGCGAAAGCCUGACGCAGCGACGCCGCGUGGGCGAAGAAGGCCUCGG
rnacentral:rRNA from 1 species